GGAGGUCAUUGCUAUUGGAGUUCGAUUUAGCCAUGCUAGUUGUACGAGCUUAGACUCGUAGCGGAAAGCUCAGUAACACGUGAUCAAACUACCCUAUAGAUCAGAAUACUCUCGGGAAACUGAGGCUAAUACUGAAUAACGCUCCUUUGCUGGAAUUGCAAGGAGCCGGAAACGCUCCGGCGCUAUAGGAUGUGAUUGCGGCCGAUUAGGUAGACGGUGGGGUAACGACCCACCGUGCCGAUAAUCGGUACGGGUUGUGAGAGCAAGAGCCCGGAGAUGGAUUCUGAGACAAGAAUCCAGGCCCUACGGGGCGCAGCAGGCGCGAAAACUUUACACUGCACGACAGUGCGAUAAGGGAACUCCAAGUGCGAGGGCAUAACGUCCUCGCUUUUGUGUAUCGUAAGGUGGUACACGAAUAAGAGCUGGGCAAGACCGGUGCCAGCCGCCGCGGUAAUACCGGCAGCUCAAGUGAUGACCAAUUUUAUUGGGCCUAAAGCGUCCGUAGCCGGCCAGACAGGUCCGUCGGGAAAUCUGCUCGCUCAACGAGCAGGCGUCCGACGGAAACCCGCUGGCUUGGGACCAGAAGACUCGAGGGGUACGUCUGGGGUAGGAGUGAAAUCCUGUAAUCCUAGACGGACCACCGAUCGCGAAAGCACCUCGAGAGGAUGGAUCCGACGGUGAGGGACGAAAGCUAGGGUCACGAACCGGAUUAGAUACCCGGGUAGUCCUAGCUGUAAACGAUGCUCGCUAGGUGUGGCACAGGCUACGAGCCUGUGCUAUGCCGUAGGGAAGCCGAGAAGCGAGCCGCCUGGGAAGUACGU
rnacentral:rRNA from 1 species